rnacentral:rRNA from 1 species
GAUGAACGCUGGCGGCGUGCCUAAUACAUGCAAGUCGAGCGAACGGACGAGAAGCUUGCUUCUCUGAUGUUAGCGGCGGACGGGUGAGUAACACGUGGAUAACCUACCUAUAAGACUGGGAUAACUUCGGGAAACCGGAGCUAAUACCGGAUAAUAUUUUGAACCGCAUGGUUCAAAAGUGAAAGACGGUCUUGCUGUCACUUAUAGAUGGAUCCGCGCUGCAUUAGCUAGUUGGUAAGGUAACGGCUUACCAAGGCAACGAUGCAUAGCCGACCUGAGAGGGUGAUCGGCCACACUGGAACUGAGACACGGUCCAGACUCCUACGGGAGGCAGCAGUAGGGAAUCUUCCGCAAUGGGCGAAAGCCUGACGGAGCAACGCCGCGUGAGUGAUGAAGGUCUUCGGAUCGUAAAACUCUGUUAUUAGGGAAGAACAUAUGUGUAAGUAACUGUGCACAUCUUGACGGUACCUAAUCAGAAAGCCACGGCUGACUACGUGCCAGCAGCCGCGGUAAUACGUAGGUGGCAAGCGUUAUCCGGAAUUAUUGGGCGUAAAGCGCGCGUAGGCGGUUUUUUAAGUCUGAUGUGAAAGCCCACGGCUCAACCGUGGAGGGUCAUUGGAAACUGGAAAACUUGAGUGCAGAAGAGGAAAGUGGAAUUCCAUGUGUAGCGGUGAAAUGCGCAGAGAUAUGGAGGAACACCAGUGGCGAAGGCGACUUUCUGGUCUGUAACUGACGCUGAUGUGCGAAAGCGUGGGGAUCAAACAGGAUUAGAUACCCUGGUAGUCCACGCCGUAAACGAUGGGUGCUAAGUGUUAGGGGGUUUCCGCCCCUUAGUGCUGCAGCUAACGCAUUAAGCACUCCGCCUGGGGAGUACGACCGCAAGGUUGAAACUCAAAGGAAUUGACGGGGACCCGCACAAGCGGUGGAGCAUGUGGUUUAAUUCGAAGCAACGCGAAGAACCUUACCAAAUCUUGACAUCCUUUGACAACUCUAGAGAUAGAGCUUUCCCCUUCGGGGGACAAAGUGACAGGUGGUGCAUGGUUGUCGUCAGCUCGUGUCGUGAGAUGUUGGGUUAAGUCCCGCAACGAGCGCAACCCUUAAGCUUAGUUGCCAUCAUUAAGUUGGGCACUCUAAGUUGACUGCCGGUGACAAACCGGAGGAAGGUGGGGAUGACGUCAAAUCAUCAUGCCCCUUAUGAUUUGGGCUACACACGUGCUACAAUGGACAAUACAAAGGGCAGCGAAACCGUGAGGUCAAGCAAAUCCCAUAAAGUUGUUCUCAGUUCGGAUUGUAGUCUGCAACUCGACUACAUGAAGCUGGAAUCGCUAGUAAUCGUAGAUCAGCAUGCUACGGUGAAUACGUUCCCGGGUCU